UCGGGAAACUGAGUAUAAUGCCCGAUAGAACACUAUACCUGGAAUGGUUUGUGUUCCAAAUGAAUGUCGCCGUAGGAUGGGACUGCGGCCUAUCAGUUUGUUGGUGAGGUAAUGGCCCACCAAGACUAUUACAGGUACGGGCUCUGAGAGGAGUAGCCCGGAGAUGGGUACUGAGACACGGACCCAGGCCCUAUGGGGCGCAGCAGGCGAGAAAACUUUGCAAUGUGCGAAAGCACGACAAGGUUAAUCCGAGUGGUUUGUGCUAAACGAACCUUUUGACAGUCCUAGAAACACUGUUGAAUAAGGGGUGGGCAAGUUCUGGUGUCAGCCGCCGCGGUAAAACCAGCACCUCAAGUGGUCAGGAUGAUUAUUGGGCCUAAAGCAUCCGUAGCCGGCUCUGUAAGUUUUCGGUUAAAUCUGUACGCUCAACGUACAGGCUGCCGGGAAUACUGCAGAGCUAGGGAGCGGGAGAGGUAGACGGUACUCGGUAGGAAGGGGUAAAAUCCUUUGAUCUAUUGAUGACCACCUGUGGCGAAGGCGGUCUACCAGAACACGUCCGACGGUGGGGGAUGAAAGCUGGGGGAGCAAACCGGAUUAGAUACCCGGGUAGUCCCAGCUGUAAACUAUGCAAACUCAGUGAUGCAUUGGCUUGUGGCCAAUGCAGUGCUGCAGGGAAGCCGUUAAGUUUGCCGCCUGGGAAGUACGUACGCAAGUAUGAAACUUAAAGGAAUUGGCGGGGGAGCACCACAAGGGGUGAAGCCUGCGGUUC
rnacentral:rRNA from 1 species